rnacentral:rRNA from 1 species
CAGGGUAUAGACCCGAAACCCGGUGAUCUAGCCAUGGGCAGGUUGAAGGUUGGGUAACACUAACUGGAGGACUGAACCGACUAAUGUUGAAAAAUUAGCGGAUGACUUGUGGCUGGGGGUGAAAGGCCAAUCAAACCGGGAGAUAGCUGGUUCUCCCCGAAAGCUAUUUAGGUAGCGCCUCGUGAAUUCAUCUCCGGGGGUAGAGCACUGUUUCGGCAAGGGGGUCAUCCCGACUUACCAACCCGAUGCAAACUGCGAAUACCGGAGAAUGUUAUCACGGGAGACACACGGCGGGUGCUAACGUCCGUCGUGAAGAGGGAAACAACCCAGACCGCCAGCUAAGGUCCCAAAGUCAUGGUUAAGUGGGAAACGAUGUGGGAAGGCCCAGACAGCCAGGAUGUUGGCUUAGAAGCAGCCAUCAUUUAAAGAAAGCGUAAUAGCUCACUGGUCGAGUCGGCCUGCGCGGAAGAUGUAACGGGGCUAAACCAUGCACCGAAGCUGCGGCAGCGACGCUGAUGCGUUGUUGGGUAGGGGAGCGUUCUGUAAGCCUGCGAAGGUGUGCUGUGAGGCAUGCUGGAGGUAUCAGAAGUGCGAAUGCUGACAUAAGUAACGAUAAAGCGGGUGAAAAGCCCGCUCGCCGGAAGACCAAGGGUUCCUGUCCAACGUUAAUCGGGGCAGGGUGAGUCGACCCCUAAGGCGAGGCCGAAAGGCGUAGUCGAUGGGAAACAGGUUAAUAUUCCUGUACUUGGUGUUACUGCGAAGGGGGGACGGAGAAGGCUAUGUUGGCCGGGCGACGGUUGUCCCGGUUUAAGCGUGUAGGCUGGUUUUCCAGGCAAAUCCGGAAAAUCAAGGCUGAGGCGUGAUGACGAGGCACUACGGUGCUGAAGCAACAAAUGCCCUGCUUCCAGGAAAAGCCUCUAAGCAUCAGGUAACAUCAAAUCGUACCCCAAACCGACACAGGUGGUCAGGUAGAGAAUACCAAGGCGCUUGAGAGAACUCGGGUGAAGGAACUAGGCAAAAUGGUGCCGUAACUUCGGGAGAAGGCACGCUGAUAUGUAGGUGAGGUCCCUCGCGGAUGGAGCUGAAAUCAGUCGAAGAUACCA